CCUACGGGAGACUGUAGUGAGGAAUAUUGGUCAAUGGACGAGAGUCUGAACCAGCCAAGUAGCGUGAAGGAUGACUGCCCUAUGGGUUGUAAACUUCUUUUAUAUGGGAAUAAAACGUUCCACGUGUGGGAUUUUGUAUGUACCAUAUGAAUAAGGAUCGGCUAACUCCGUGCCAGCAGCCGCGGUAAUACGGAGGAUCCGAGCGUUAUCCGGAUUUAUUGGGUUUAAAGGGAGCGUAGGUGGAUUGUUAAGUCAGUUGUGAAAGUUUGCGGCUCAACCGUAAAAUUGCAGUUGAAACUGGCAGUCUUGAGUACAGUAGAGGUGGGCGGAAUUCGUGGUGUAGCGGUGAAAUGCUUAGAUAUCACGAAGAACUCCGAUUGCGAAGGCAGUUCACUGAACUGCAACUGACACUGAGGCUCGAAAGUGUGGGUAUCAAACAGGAUUAGAUACCCGGGUAGUC
rnacentral:rRNA from 1 species